UACUACUAUUAAUAAGGGGGAAUCGAGAGGAGCUUCCGGUUCAUGUGCAUUGACGGAAAAACCAAUAAUACUCCAACAAUUCCGUAUUUGUCCUCAGGGUCGGUUGAAGAGCUUCCCGUUGUCCAAGCGGAUAUGUUCUUCAGAGAGCGGCACAUGAGGAUUGGUAAAACGUGGCAGACACCACAGGUUUAUUUACUGUCGGCUCUUCUGGCUAAUUUCAAUCUUCUUCCUCACUUUCCUUUCAUCUGUCCGAUUUUCGCUAUAGAUGGAUGCUCUCUUGCUUCCCUUGACGCCCUGACUUAGACUUAAACAUUGUCUCUGUAUUCUUGCUCUUUUUCCUUCUAAGUGCGGCUGGUCCAAUCCAUUGCACCAAUACUAAGAUGAAAGACUAGGACUGGAAGCCCUCCCUCCUCUUCCAUGUGUCUUCAUAUGUGUUGAUUCACAUAUUGUUGUGAGAUUAGCUGCAUCUAGAUGUAUUACAACCAAGGCCAAGUCAAUGGCAUUGUUGAUUACGGUUGAUUGAAAUAACACUAGAGCAUACAGUGUUUUUAUGUUUUAUUUUGCAGAUAUCAUACUGAAAAUACCUUAUUAUGCCUAUGUUGUACAUGGAACUCUGUUUCUUGUGGUUACUUAUUUUCAUUUUCAAUAUGUAAAACUAUUUCUAUUGGUACCAGCACAAUUGAAGAACUAUACCAAAAUACCGAACA